rnacentral:lncRNA from 1 species
CUCCCUCCAAAUUGUUUUUCAUUUCCCUCCUUAGUAUUCAUAGUUAAUUAGUCAUUCUUUUAUUCCUUUUUCAUCCAGGACAUAGAGGAAUGAACAAUGAAUCUCCACUGAAACCCUAGCGCCCAAAAUUCAUCUCUAUAUUUCCUGUACGAUCGAUUAGUCUGAUAUUUCAUGUUCUUCCUCUUUUGAUUACUACUCGACAAUGUCAACAGUGUCGUUGACAGAUGCAAAAAUAGGUACUGCGCUUCUUCUUCGUCGUCAACACUCGUCCGAGUAUAGGAACCGCUAAGAAGCUAUUUUUCUGAAAUUUAAGAAGCCAAGAGGCCUCUGAGCUCAAGGUCUGUUAUUAUCUCUAUUUGUUUUUUUAAUUGUUUAAUCUCUUUGUUUUAUGUAUUCUAAUAAAUUGUAAAUAUCUGUUAGAGAUUGUUUUCAAACAAUAUUCUACAUCAGGUGCUUUAUGGAUUAUUAUUGAUUUUCUGGAGAAUUUAUUUUUAUUUGAUUUUAUAGUCAUUUUCUUUAGGUUGUUGAACUCUUUACCUCAAUAGAAUGAAAUUUAAUCUAUACAUACGGUAGAUCUGAAAAGAAUAAACAAAUCUUGAGAAGUUAUAGCUAAAAGAAGUAUUAAGAAUGAAAACUUUAAAUUAGUGAUAGUAAAGAACUAUAGCUAUGUAGUUGCUCUGAAUAGUUUUAGUUUUUUGAUUGUUUCUAACUAAAUAUGGAGAUAAAGGAAAAUAGUGCAGAUAAAUAAAUAAUUCUUUUUAAAUACCAAACAAAUUACUCUAGCCAUGUGAAUCGCACAACAUGUUUUAAUUUUCUCUAGUGAUGACUUAUCUGUUUAAAUUACUCUUAUCAAACGAGGGGUUAUUGGAUAGUCAUAUGAAUGCUUCAUAUUGAGGGAUAAAGAGGCGGAAAGUCGGAUAGUUUCAUAUGAAUGCUUCAUAUUGGGGGAUAAAGAGGUUGAAAGUUAAAAAUAUGCCAUAUUUUUAUUUAUGGGUUGUCAAUAGGUGAGGUGAUGUCUGGUAAGAAUUUUCAUCCUAACUUUCCAAUUUAUGUGCCCUGCAUUACAUGUGUCGCAUACAAUUGAUGAAAUAUUUAAGUAAAAUUUCCAAUUUGAAUGUAUUACCUAAAGCAAUUCUUAUGAGGAAAUGUUGCUCAUCCAUGGUGUUGCUGCUGCAGUUGUCGGAUAAGUUUUUGCUAUUGAUGACAACAUAGUUCAUCUUUAAAUGGGACAUAGCUUUCACAUCUUUUAAUGACUUAGCUGCUGCUACCCUGUUAUUUUGCCAGCUUCUUAGGGAACCUUUUACAUCUUCAGACAUCACCAAAUGCACACCAAAAGUAUUCAAGAAGAGUGCCUAAUAUGUUAUAUUUAUUUUUAAUGUAGAAAAAGAUGGAUUCCACAGAGCUAUUCACAGGAGAAACAUCUGCUACAAAUCCAAAAGCCCCUUCUAUGUAAGUUUUUCUGUAAAAUUAUGAUAUUUUAUUGUUCUAUUAUAAAAGCAUUAUUUUAGAAGGCUCAUUUUGGUGUUUAGGUGGAAUUCCAUUGUGUAUUUAUAUUUUCUUCUGAGACCAUUCAUUAUUAUAUGGGACUUGAAAGAAAUUAAAAAUGACUGGGACUACAUCUCAUAUUGUCUCAUUAUAAUAUAAGAUUAUAAGUUGGCAACACCGUAAAGUUUGAGGAAGCCAUCUUUCUGCCACAAGUAUAAGAUUAUAAGUUGGCUACACAGUAACUCCCUUGCCACCAUUGUCUACCAUAUUUUUAAGAAAACCCAUUUUUAAAACUUCUUUUAAGAUUUAGAUACCAUUGAAAAUUCUAAUUGUGAACGACCUACGAGACAGAGCAGUCAUGAGCCAUACAGUGACAUUACAUGACUACAUUCAAUAGCACAAUAGGAAUUAUUUGGCCUUGAAUCAAUUAUCUGAAUAUUCUACUUAAGUAUGUGUUGCUUACAAGUAACAAGUUGCCUCAGUGUGGCAUCUGAUCCAUUGCAGCUGCAAUAGUUUGGUCUGCUUUUAGGCAUAGAAAGUCCAUGAACUUGUGUAGAUUGGUAUUUAACAUAUAGUUGCUUUGCAGCUGUGAUAACUUAUCUUUCCACUUCCCGGAUUGUUGGUCUGAUGGUGUUGUGCAUUAGGCAGUUACUUAAUAUAUUGAAAGUCUCUACGGACUCAUUUGUUUAAUCUGUCUUUGAAGAGAUGCAGUUCAUGAGUUUCAUCAAAGCAAUAGAUUUUCUGCAGUUCUCACCUUUUAAUUCUAUCUAUAUAUGUAACCUAAUUUUACAGUGUUUGAAUUCAUACAACCAUUAGCUUGAAUUGAGUUUUGUCAACUUUGUUUUGCUUUGUGUAUUUUUGACAAAUAAAAUAUCCAGUCCCAUAUCAUCUCUCAUAUUGAUGUUCUUGUUAUUUUGUUAUUCCAUUUUUUCAUUUCUUAAUUUCUUUCUAAUACAUGUCAUUACAUGAGGGGCUCAAGAAUUCAACAGUGUCAUUAACGUUCAGCCCAAAA